AGCUAAGUUUGUUAUUGGUAUGUGCUUUCAUGUGCAUGCACACUUCUUCUGAAGCCAACCUGAAGAAGUGUGCAUGCACACGAAAGCCCAUACCAAUAACAAACUUAGUUU